AAAGCGUGCGCAGGCGGUUUUGUAAGUUUGUCGUGAAAGCCCCGGGCUCAACCUGGGAAUUGCGAUGAAGACUGCAAGGCUUGAAUCUGGCAGAGGGGGGUAGAAUUCCACGUGUAGCAGUGAAAUGCGUAGAGAUGUGGAGGAACACCGAUGGCGAAGGCAGCCCCCUGGGUCAAGAUUGACGCUCAUGCACGAAAGCGUGGGGAGCAAACAGGAUUAGAUACCCGUGU
rnacentral:rRNA from 1 species